UACGUAGGGGGCAAGCGUUGUCCGGAAUCAUUGGGCGUAAAGAGCGUGUAGGCGGCUCGGUAAGUCCGCUGUGAAAGUCCAGGGCUCAACCCUGGAAAGCCGGUGGAAACUGUCGAGCUCGAGUCCGGAAGAGGCGAGUGGAAUUCCUGGUGUAGCGGUGAAAUGCGCAGAUAUCAGGAGGAACACCAAUGGCGAAGGCAGCUCGCUGGGACGGUACUGACGCUGAGGCGCGAGAGCGUGGGGAGCGAACCGG
rnacentral:rRNA from 1 species